AGCAGAACCACUGCUUGUGAAAAUAUUUGUAAAUUGUAGCUUAAGAACACUGAAAACUCAAAAAUCAUUCUCUUACAGAAGUAUUCUUCCAGCAAAUGAGAUUAUUACUCUUAAGACUUCAAAUUAAUUUUCAUGAUCAUUGCAUUUUCAAAUUAAUCCAUCAAAGCAUAUAUUUCUAGAAUAUCAUUUUGCUAUAUAUAAAAAUGUCAAUGAAGAGAAGCCCUUGGCAUGAUUCAAUCUCUCUCCACGUUCAGUUACAUUCCAAACUAAAAUAAAAUAACUGCCAGCACACAAAGAAAACAGAAAACCCAAACUUCAU
rnacentral:misc_RNA from 1 species